rnacentral:rRNA from 1 species
AAUCAACGCUGGCGGCGUGCCUCAGACAUGCAAGUCGAACGCGAAAGGCUCCUUCGGGGGCCGAGUAGAGUGGCGCACGGGUGAGUAACACGUAGGUAAUCUACCUUUGGGUGGGGAAUAACAGCCGGAAACGGCUGCUAAUACCGCAUAAUGCAGCGGCUCGACAUCGAGACAGUUGUUAAAGCGGGGGAUUCGCAAGAACCUCGCGCCUAAAGAGGAGCCUGCGGCAGAUUAGCUAGUUGGUAGGGUAAUGGCCUACCAAGGCGACGAUCUGUAACCGGCCUGAGAGGGCGGUCGGCCACACUGACACUGACAUACGGGUCAGACUCCUACGGGAGGCAGCAGUCGGGAAUUUUGGGCAAUGGGCGAAAGCCUGACCCAGCAACGCCGCGUGAAGGAU